CACGUAGGGGCGAGCGUUGUCCGGAAUUACUGGGCGUAAAGGGCGCGCAGGCUGUUAUGCGAGUCUGCUGUGAAAUGUACCGGCUCAACCGGUGCCUUGCGGCGGAUACUGCAUAGCUGGAGUACUGGAGAGGGAAGUGGAAUUCCCGGUGUAGCGGUGAAAUGCGUAGAUAUUAGGAGGAACACCGGUGGCGAAGGCGGCUUACUGGACUGUAACUGACGCUGAGUCACGAAAGCGUGGGUAGCAAACAGGAUUAGAUACCCGUGUA
rnacentral:rRNA from 1 species